AUUCAACUGACGAGUCUCAAAAAGGACGAAACGCGUUUCUUGGAU
rnacentral:hammerhead_ribozyme from 1 species